rnacentral:lncRNA from 1 species
UGCUUAAUGGUUGGUGUAUUUUAAGAAAGCCAUUUGAAAAUAAAACUGGGAUUACAUGCAGUGUUUCACAAGGUGCUAAGGGGCUCACCACCUCGCGGGGCUAAGACAAGAGGGCUUUGCUUGGUCUGCUACUGAUGUUCUUGCCUCACCAGCUCCAAUCUGGCUCCCCUGGUUGAAAUGGCAGGGUGACUGUGGUGUCCAAGGUUUAACGUGUGGGGACAGGGGAAAAGCUGCCACCAGUCCACUCUACCCAAGCGUCCUUUUAUUAUCUUACAAUUGCAAAGCGUGCAACUCUGCGGAGAAGCAAAGCCGGCUUCUUUUCUGGACUCUCCUGGGAUGCCGUCAAGGAAGGACGGUGUGGGUCGCGUGUGUGGGCACAGGCGAAUAAUCCGUAAAUCCCCAAGAGCAGGGCUCUCUUCUUCUUCCUCGAGCAGUUUCCCUGAGGGUGGAGUAAAUGGCAUGAGGCUUUGGGUUCCAGUCCAUUUGGGGGCUUCUCCGCUUAUGAGGGGACCAUUGACUGAAACUGCCCACCUUGGCCGGGCAUGAUAACAGCCACUCGCGUGAGCUGUCACACCACAGAGCCCUGAUCUGGAACAUGGUACUGCCCUGAAGACUAGCCUGGGGGAUCUGGGAGGGGACAACGGGGGGAGGAGACGGCCAACCUCCCAGGACCCUCGGCGCUGGAAUCCAUCUUGCCUGAGGGGUGUGGGGCCACCAGGAAGGACCCUGAGCCAGAGCAGGUACGGGCCGAGCAAGACAACCAGCCAGAAAUAACCCAGAAACUAAGCCCAUAAAACCAGAGACUGCAAGCCACGUGGCAGAGCAGCUCUCCUGGGUUCCCUCACCCACUGCCCUCCACCUGGGCGCCCCUUCCCAGUAAAGCCAUUGUUUUGUCAGCACAUGUGUCUCCUCCAACAAUUCAUUUCCGAGUGUUAGACAAGAGCCUGUGCUUGGGCCCUGGAUGGGUCCCCCUCCCUGCAACAGCUGGCGGCUCUGGGGGUAUUCCUGCAACAUGCUGACAGAGGCGGGAACCACUGUGGGUCUGAGUCAGGAAGAUUCCUCAGUCUCUCGGGCUGUCCUGAGAGCCUUUGAGUUGGAGGGCACGGCGGAGACAAAACUGAGGGACAUGCCCCGAGAUGACGUGGAAUCUUAGCUGUGCAAUGCUGUUAGCUUUCGAGCUGCCCGUGUUUUCUGCCAAGGAGGACAAGAGUAUUUCCAAAGGGUAGGAUGAGAUGACAAAGGUCAAAGUGUCUGCAAACAGUCCCCAGGCACAUCAGAGAGAUGAUGAUGAUGAGAAUGGUGAUGCUUCCAGCAAGUUUUGCAGUCAUUAAAAAAAAAAAAAAAAAGGCAUUUCAAUAAAAAAAGUCACUUCUCUGCAAAUUUCUAGUUGCCUAUGAAGAUGGUUUUGGCUUUCUGUUUCCCCUUCCCUAACAGAACUUCCUGGUAGAGAAAGGUGUUAUCUUGUUUGUUGCCAGCCGGGAAGCUUGCUGUCCAAGAGUUUUCCUUGCUUCCUGGCGCCCAUCUCCAAGCUGGGCCUCAGGGCCUCCGAGUGGCUGUGCCCCCACGAAGCCAGUAGAGGGCGUGCUGCCGCCUGCUCUCAGCACCUGGGACGCAGUGGCCGCUGGGCUUCCCUUUCCGUGUCCUGGCUGUGACCUUGACUCUUGAGUACCAUGGAGACCACACACAGAGUGGGCAGCGGUUUUCAUCUUGUUUACUGAAGGGGAAGGGAAUUUAACUGGAAUUCCUCAGAAAUGACAAAAUGCCAGACUUCUCAUUCCUGGUUACCGUCCUCUCCAAAGUUUAUCCCUUAUUCAACCCAUGGCCCAUCCGGCUGGGAGCCUCUCCACCUGUGCACCGACUUGGCUCAGCCCAGCGUGUGUCCGCCUGCCUCCGGAGGGCGCUCUGCCUCCUCCACAAUUCUCUUUCAGAGUCUCGGGAAGGUUGGGUCCCUGCUCCCCGCCUCAGAGGAGGAGGGGUGCUGCUGUCAUUUCCUUCCCAGAUGCUGCUGAAGAGAGUAGUUUGCACCCAGUGUAGGAAGGGUCCCGGCAAAGCUCAUGACGUCAGCAUUUACCGAGGACUUCAGAGCAUCCCUUUCCAUUCUGAGAAAGGACAUGCUUUUCUGUUCCACCUCCCAACGCCAAGACAAGGACCCAUCCUCUCCUUGUCAGCUCUGCUGCCUUCGACCUUGGCGAACAGGAUCUCAAAGGCUGUUCUCGGCCAAUGGUCCUCCCGGCAAAGCUUGACAUCCAGGGAGUGGCACCGACAGUGCGGCACUGAGCUCCGUCGUUUCAGAAAGGCUGUCUGUCUCGCCUACCACUUUAAUGCAAUGGUCUGGUCCUCCUGGGCAUCAGACGAACCUCAUCAUUUUUCUGAAUGAUAGUCCUUGAAUUAUUUAGAGACAGUGACCAUGUCUUGGAGUCUUCACUUCCAGGUUAAAAUGCCCACUUUCCUUCCCUGGCUGCUCAUCUCUGUGCCAUAAGAACAUUUGCCUGGUGCCUGCUCUGUGCCAGUACCAGUGACUCUAUUAGAUAUUAAUUGUGAUUGCAACACCCUUAUACUGCAAUUAUAUGCUAACAAUGUUCCAGGUAUUAGAUACUUUCACACCAUCAUUUGUUGAAUUCUUAGUCUAGAGAAGUGUACACAUGCGACACAGAAGGAGAAAUAAAGUCUUCUUUUCCUGGCCCACCCAUGCCAUUUCUAAGGGGCCACCCACACUGAUUCUGUGAAUGUCUUUUCAAAUAUCUUCUCUGCCUCUACAAGCAUGUAUGUGCAGAUACAUCACUCCUCCCCACAAGAAUGGGAUUACGCUAAUGGAUACAGCUACGUCUUAAUUUUUUCCACAUAAUAAUUCCGUGGGGGGCAUCAUUUCCAACCUCUCCGUCUCCAAAGCAGAAGUCUGUCUCUCUCUCUUUUUUUGGGGCGGGGGCACACCCAUAUNACCGACAGCUAGGGGUCCAAUCGGAGCUGCAGCCGCCGACCUGCACCACAGCCACAGCAACAAGGGGUCCGAGUCGCGUCUUCGACCUACACCGCAGCUCAUGGCAACGCCGGAUCCUUAACCUACUGAGCGAGGCCAGGGAUCAAACCCACACCCUCAUGGAUACUGGCCAGAUUUGUUUCUGCUGUGCCAGAAUGGGAACUUCAAAGUUUUUCUCACUUUAAAACUAAUUUUAUUACAUAUACACCUAUACACAUAUAAUUGUAUAUAUACAAUUUUUCAUAAAUUCCUGGGUAUGAUAUAUACCCAAUUGUUUUCCACAGAAAUAUUUGAUAAAACUCAAAAAGCAAAUGUAAUGCACCUAUAAUUUGCAUGUAUAAUUAUAUGUAUAAUAAUAAAAUGAAUACUUGGGACUCUACUGCUCUACUUGAGAAUCGGAACCUUAACUAGAGCGGUUUCCUUCCCAUCGUGUCUCUACCUUCUCUCCACGGCUCCCCACUUUUUCUCCUUCCCUUGCUUUGCUUAGUGGUUUUAGCAUGCAAGUCAUACCUUGUUUCAUUUUGCCUGUUUUUAGGAGCUUGAAAAUGGAUUCACAUUGAUGUGUUCCACAAUUUACUUCUUUUUUUUUUUUUUUUGUCUUUUUGUUGUUGUUGUUAUUGUUGUUGUUGUUGCUAUUUCUUGGGCUGCUCCCGUGGCAUAUGGAGGUUCCCACGCUAGGGGUUGAAUCGGAGCUGUAGCCACCAGCCUGCGCCAGAGCCACAGCAACGCGGGAUCCGAGCCGCGUCUGCAACCUACACCACAGCUCACUGCAACGCCGGAUCGUUAACCCACUGAGCAAGGGCAGGGACCGAACCCGCAACCUCAUGGUUCCUAGUCGGAUUCGUCAACCACUGCGCCACGACGGGAACUCCCACAAUUUACUUCUUAUACGAUAUUAUGUUUCUGAUAUUCCAGUACGUGGCGAGCCCUAUGUCAUCUCCCGUGGUGCAUGGCAUGGCAUUCCAUUGUGUCACCAGGCAAGGAUGUAUCUACCCGAUCCGGGGUGUGCUCCGUUUUCUGCUAUGGCAACAACGCCAUUCGUGUUGUAUAUGUCUCCUGGUAUAUACAUAUUUAAAAUAGCUGCAUUGCAUGGUUGACCUUAAUUUAUCCUUUUAUUAAUAGAUAUGUCUGUGCGUGUGUGUGUGUGUGUCUGUUCUUUUGGGUGUGGUCUCUACAUGGAUAAAGAGUUUGUUUCUGCUGCCAAUUCUGGAUGGAUUCACUCUCAUAUUGGACCGCGGUCUUUCUGCUCGACAGACAUGGAUUUCUGUCACUUCCAUUGCCACCAAUCCUCUCCCCUAGGUGUAUUUCUAUCACCACCCAGCUCCUUCUCUAGUCACAUCUGCAUAUUCAAACGUUAUCCUUUGAGCCCCAUUUCUUUUUGCAGCAAGCUCAGGACAUCUCCAUUCCGCAGCAGCAAUCCGCCUCCGCCACUGCUCCUCUCUGC